rnacentral:rRNA from 1 species
GACGAACCGCCCGAACGUUGUUCGGAAUCACUGGGCUUAAAGGGAGCGUAGGCGGGCUGCCAAGUCCGGGGUGAAAUCCUCCAGCUUAACUGGAGAACUGCCUCGGAUACUGGAAGUCUCGAGGAGGGUAGGGGCAAGUGGAACCGUGGGUGGAGCGGUGAAAUGUGUUGAUAUCCAUGGGAACUCCGGUGGCGAAGGCGACUUGCUGGACCCUUUCUGACGCUGAGGCUCGAAAGCCAGGGGAGCAAACGGG